rnacentral:misc_RNA from 1 species
GAUGAAGAACGCAGCAAAAUGCGAUAAGUAAUGCGAAUUGCAGAAUUCAGUGAAUCAUCGAAUCUUUGAACGCACAUUGCGCCCGCUAGUAUUCUGGCGGGCAUGCCUGUCUGAGCGUCAUUUCAACCCUCGCCCCCGGCUUUUGCUGGGAGCGGUGUUUGGGAUCGGCCGCCCGUCACUGGGAGGCCGGCCCCGAAAUAGAGUGGCGACCACGCCGUGUGCUCCUCUGCGUAGUAGUAAAUCACCUCGCAGGCGGACAGCGGUGCGGCCUGCCGUAAAACCCCCAACUCUUUCUGGUUGACCUCAGAUCAGGUAGGAAUACCCGCUGAACUUAAGCAUAUCAAUAAGCGGAGGA